rnacentral:lncRNA from 1 species
AGCAAUUUGGCUUCAACGAUGAGAACUUUGCAGAUCAAGAUGACAUUGGCAAUGUCUCUUUUGAUCGGGUAUCAGACAUCAACUUCACUCUCAAUACAAAUGAAAGCGGAAAUAUCGCCUUGUUUGAAGCAUGUUGUAAGGAAAGAAUACAGCAGUUUGAUGAUGGCGGCUCUGAUGAGGAGGAUACCUGGGAGGAAAAGCACAUUGCAUUUACACCAGAAUCCCAAAGAAGAUCCAGCUUGGGGAGUACAGACAGUGAAGAAAGUACAGAUUCUGAAGAAGAAGAUGGAGCAAAACAAGACUUGUUUGAAUCUAGUAGUGCCAACACAGAAGAUAAAAUGAAGGUAGACCUUAAUGAACUGCCUACUUGGUCAGCCAAUUUUGACGUUCCAAUGGAGACCACUCACGGCACUCCGUUAGACUCAGUGGGGUCUGAUGUGUGGAGCACAGAGGAGCCAAUGCCAACUAAAGAGACUGGUUGGGCUUCUUUUUCAGAGUUCACAUCAUCUCUGAGCACAAAAGAUUCUUUAAGGAGUAAUUCUCCAGUGGAAAUGGAAACCAGCUCUGAAGCCAUGGACCCUGACUCCCAGUGUUGCUGCCCUGGAAGCACAGCCAGAAGCACCAGGCAGUGUGGCCAUGGAAGCCAGCUCUGAUGGAGAGGAGGAUGCAGAAAGUACAGACAAGGUAACUGAGACAGUGAUGAAUGGUGGCAAAAGGAAACACUCAGCCUCACUGUAGAUGCCAAGACAGAGACUGCAGUCUUUAAAAGUGAGGAAGGAAAACUGUCUACCUCUCAAGAUGCUGCUUGUAAAGAAGUAAAGGAAAGCCCUGAGCCAGCAGAGGCAAAGUCCGUGGCCCCCUGGACUCCCAGCAGUAGUCCAGAGCAGAGGACUGACCAGCCAAGUGUGCCAGGCGACACAUCAGUUAAUGGCCCUGUAUGAUGAGUGACGUCUGCUGCUGCUGACUGAAGACUGCAGACCACCACCACCAAGGGCUCUCGAGGGCCAUCUGGAGCCACCAAGCUGUCACUGCUGCACUCUAUUCUAGAUUCUAAGACAUUGUACAGAGAAAUUCAGAAGUGUAAAAAUAUUGCACAUUGACAAAUACCAAGAAUUUUUGUGUAUGUUUAUAUUGUAUUGUUCUCAAUAAUGGGUAGCCUGUGAAAUAAGAUCUUGCUGGCCAUGUAAUGAUAAUAGUAAUACUGUAGGUAAAACAGCUGUAAGAAUAGUUUUAUAAAAGGAAUACACAGAUCUAUUGUAUUUGAAACAUAACUAUUUGACAAUUAUUAGUGUGACCAAAGUAUUAGGCAGUUUUCAUACAUUUUUCACCUUGUACAAAAUUCUGAAUUCAUUUUUCUUCCAGGUUGGCAAGGAGUUGUAGAAUUGAAAUGCCCUCUAACUGUUAUUUUGGUUGUUCUAACUUACAAAAGUGAUUUUGAAUAAGAAGUAUUUGGUGUUCUUUUUAUAACCAGUUUUUGAUUGGUAAUUGUUUUCUGCAUUGUUUAAAAUGAAUCAAAAUGUAAGUCUGUUGGUAGAGAUUAAGUAUUUAUUGCUACAACUUAGUUGAUAAAUUGAUGUUAAUGUAAAAAAAAAAAAAAGAAAGAAAGAAAAAAAAGAAAUUACCAAACUGUUUUCCAAAGUGGUCAAACCAUUUUCCAUUCCCACCAGCAGUGUGUGAACAGCCCAUUUCUCCUACAUCUUCACCAACACUUGGGAUCAUUCACUUGUAGUGAUUUUAAUAAGUAUGGAUGUGGCUUUAAUUUACCUUUAUGUAAUGACUAAUGAUAUUGAAUACUGUUUCACAUUCUUAUUUUCUAUUUAUAUAUCUUCUUUGGGAAAUAGCUGUUCAAUUCUUUGGCCUAAUUUUAAUUGGAUUGUUUGCUUUUAUAUUUCUCAGUCUUAAGUGUUUUUUUUAAUUUUAAUUUUUAUUUUUUUGUAUUAAAUUCUUUUACUGGUACAUUGUAGGUAUACAACACAAUUACAUUUCUCAUUGGGAAUUGUACCUUUAUAUAAUGCAUCUUGGUUCUUAU